rnacentral:rRNA from 1 species
GUGCCAGCCGCCGCGGUAAUACGGAGGGUGCAAGCGUUGUUCGGAAUUAUUGGGCGUAAAGCGCGUGUAGGCGGUUUGUUAAGUCUGAUGUGAAAGCCCCGGGCUCAACCUGGGAAGUGCAUUGGAAACUGGCAGACUUGAAUACGGGAGAGGGUAGUGGAAUUCCUAGUGUAGGAGUGAAAUCCGUAGAUAUUAGGAGGAACACCGGUGGCGAAGGCGGCUACCUGGACCGAUAUUGACGCUGAGACGCGAAAGCGUGGGGAGCAAACAGGAUUAGAAACCCGAGUAGUCC